CGCUGGCCAGUCAGUAAAGGACUCUUAAUUUGGAACUCAGUGCGUGGCACAUUCCUUCUAACUCGCUUGGUUAUUACAAUGCCAUGUGACUUGAUUUGCCAGUGGGAUGGUAGUAGAUGCAAUUCAAGUAGGGGCCCAGAAUGCGCUUUCAGGGUGAGUAUGACCUCUGAGCUUGUGCCUCUGCCAUUGUCAUGAGAAGAACACGUCUAGCUGGACCGCUGGUUCCAAGGAGAAUGACAGACUCUCAGAAUAGAUCUGCUGUUCCAACCAGCCGACAGGACAGCACCAGAACAAAAGGGGCAGGAUGACUGCAACGUGAAUGGUGGAACAUCCUGUUGCUGAAGAGCAGAUGCCAUGCUGAAGCAAGCAGUUUUAUAGCCUGCAGCUGCACCCUAAGUGGGAGUGAGGCAGAGAGCCUCCAGCCUUAUUAGAAUCCAGGAGGCAAUAAGGAACUGUCUCCUGACAGCCUUUUAGGAAGAUAGGGAGGCAAGUGAAAGAUGGCCUUGUAGUAAGUAGCUCUUUCCACACUGUAUAUUAUCAUUAGUCUCCUGCUCACAAAAGUGCUUGAAUGUACUGCUACCAGAGCAUCUCCAGAUUCCAAAAUUGCAAGCAAAUUUUCAAGUGCCAAGAUGAAAUCAACCGCAGUA